rnacentral:lncRNA from 1 species
UAGAACUGCACCAGCAUCAAUAAGCUCUCCAUCAAACUCAAGGGCUUCUGAACAGCUUGAUAUAGCAUCCUUCCCCCUACCAAGCCUCACCAAGACUAUACACAAACCAAGAUGAAGAUUUACAUUAUGUGCAGAAUGGUUGGGGUCCAACGCCAGGGCUGCUUUGAUAUAGCAACAGAUAAAGGUCUGCACUUACAGCUUGUAUGGAUGGUUGUUACCUAUUGUAUUGUAUUGUUAGUAUAAAUACAACAUUUUAUUUUAAAGACAACUCCAUAUCUAGGAGUUGACUCUAAUUAAGAAUUAAAGAAUACUUGCCGUUCUCAACCAAUAAUCAUUGUUGGUUGAUUUGUCUAUUGUGAUUUCUGCAAUCACCAACAAAAAUCUUUCUAGUUGGAAUAUGAACUCAAUUGCUAAAGAACUACAGGAGGAUAAUCAUAAUUGAUACAAAUGGUGAAACAAGAGGGCUAAUUUAGUUGUAACAUCAUUGGUCAGAAUCAAAAAUAUAUUAGAACAGCUAAUGAUAAUGUAAAUGCAAUAUAACAAGGAUUAUAUAUCAAUUAGUUGGUUAUUAGGAUUAGGUAUGAUUUUUGCAACAACAAUGCAUGACAAGAUAACUCAACCAAAAUUUAGCGGCUAGAGGUGGAAAUAUUCAGAAAUUUGUCCCUCUGGCAGUGAGACAUUACAACUAUGCCUCGAUUCCAAACAAAUUACUACUCUGCUACUGCCAGAAUUCCUGUGUGAAGCCCCAUCAGUGUUACAACAUAACCCAAGGAUCACCUGGAAGAUUUGAGUCCAUUGCACUUUUGUGUACUUCAACCUUGGCAUAUAGGACUCGAGGGAAAAUUGACAUCUUCCUGGAUUGUAGGCAUAUCAUUAAGCAUAGGAGGAAAUCUCAAGUUAUGGAGAUCACCGAGAGUAGAAUUAACCAAUAAAAUGAUAUGUUGUGCAGUACGAUCAUCUGGACCAGCUAACAUAAAUUAAGCUAGGAGCCGUUCCACUGAUCUACAGCUGAAGAAUCAACAGUGUACUAGUUGUAAACUAGUCGUAAUUACUAUGUACUAUUAGUCAAACAACAAUAAGUAAUCAAUCAGUUGUUAGCAAAGUAAAUGGCGCGCUUCUCUAAGGACAUGAAAUAAAUAAACUGACGGCUUCGAUAAAUACAUUCAGAACCCAAAAUUUAGCAGCAAUAAAUAAAUUCAUUAAAAUGAAAGGUUGUUACAUAAUCUUCGACAUAAGAAAAAGAAAGAAAGCAUAUGCAAGUACUAAGUAAGUGAAUUAGGUGAGAUGAAACUCUCCGCAUAAACAAUUCCACGCUUAGUGAUAUUACAUUUAGGGCAUGAUUUAAAUGGUCCUCUAGAUGUCGUGAAUAUAGAAUUACAACAUCUGUUACCUUUGCACUGUAGUAACACUUCACAAUCUGCAAACAUAUAUUUUGGUCUGGCUGAAUGGAAAAGAUUAGUAUCUCGUAUUUCAAUCAACUUAAUCCAAGAUUCCCUGACACCAUAGUCUUUCAUUAUCCACAACUUAAAAGUGCCGAUCCUGCCCUCCGUCCAAUGAUUAUGUGUAGAAUAAAAGCAAAGCAUUCCUCUCAAUACUGAAACACCAUGGUCGAUGAUGUAGUAGCGGGGGCUUACACCAAACAUUUGCUCCAAUAACGGUACCUCCCCAUACACCUCAUUUGAAAUAUUAAAUGAAACGGUAGUAUAAUAUCCAGAGCAUGACAUAGCAAGCCAAUGAAAUGCUCCAUGUAGAAAUGCCAAAUAAUCCAUACCACUAUCCAUAAAACCCCUAACAGGCUUAGGCUUAAUGCCAGUAGGAUAACCAAUUCUUCUCCAGGAACCACUCUUUAGAGAGAAUAAUUGAAUCGAAGUAUAAGAACUAUCAAUUGCAUUCAGGCUAAUUGCAAGGAUCUUAUAGUCUUCACUAGUUGCAUCAUAUUUCAAUCCACAUACACAAGUCCUCACUGGAAAUUCUGGAUGGGGAAGUAGUCUGGAUUCUCUUGUGGACGGGUUCCACAACACAAGUUCCUCAUAAUAUCCUCCAGAAGAAACAAGAGUAAGAACCAAUCCAUCACAAGAACAAAAUAUUAAGGCAAUCUUUGGUUUGCAGCUUGAAGGCCAAUCAAGCUUUUGUUUAUCCUCACGCAUCGAUAAAGAACAAGUAUAGAAGUCAAAAUCCUUCAUAAAUAACCUUUCGAUGGUAAGAAGUUUUUGGGAAUUUUGGUCAUCCCUGUUAUGAAUAUAAUGUGUCCUCCUAAAGUAAGGAUCAUUAAUUAAUGACUUCCAAAAUUUUGAAACACAUUUGAACCGAAGAAGAGACCGCACAGGUAACGUGCGGAGGAUGUCCAUCAUUAUUUCCUCUUGGAAAUGAAUUCUUGUGACCUACCUAUACAUGGAGUAUAUCAAAAUGAAGAAUAAAUAUAAAAAAAGAAAGCUACAACAACUAGAGUUAGUUCAAGCACAAUGGUAGUUUUUAGAACUUAUGAGAUUUUUAUGUUCAAAUUGUAUGGCCAAAUAAAACAUGUGAUAUAAUUCAGAUAAAAGAAUUGAAGUGAGAAGUGACCUGAUGAAUCUCCAUCUGGUGUGUAUUAUCAUUUGAAAUGCUCUUCCCUGAAAUUCAGCCAUUAAAACACACACAUAGCAGAAAGAAAGAAAGGAGGUAAGAAAGACGGGAUACCUUUGCAAAUUUGAUUCUUCUUCUUCUUGUGUUGGCAUCUGGAAAGAUUGAAUUUUCGGGUAGAUUCUUCUUCUCCAUUGCUAAUCUGAUCAAACUUUUCUGUGUUGGUAAUAAUAAUAUUAGGUUUUAGAAUGGAUUUCUUCGCUUUUCUAUUUGCUAAAUUUCCAUGGCCAUGGGAGGCUGCACACUUCUUCUUUUGUGCCAUCUCAAAUGCUAGCGUUUCUGGUGCCAAUUUAGGCGCCCCAAUAUUACAAUCUUAAAUAUAUAUUCUAAGUAUUUAUGAGAAAAUGCCACAAGUGGUUUUUGAACUACCGGACUACCUCUAAAAUAGUCUUUAACUAUACAUUUAUCAUACUCCCUCCGUUUCACAAAGAAUGAUCUGGUUUGACUUGGCACAGAGUUUAAAUAAAUAAAAAAAACUUUUGAAUCUUGUGAUCCUAAAUUAAAGUUAAGUCAAAUGUACAAAAUUGCCCUUAAUCUUGUGGUCUUAAACAUGCCACGUGGAAAGCAAAAAGUAAAUUGUUACCAAAAAAGGAAAGAAGUCAUUCUUUUUUGAAACUGACUAAAAAGAAAAGGAGGUCAUUCUUUGUGAAACGGAGGGAGUAUUUAUUAAUCUCAAAUCUUAUUAAAUUUGGUCUCUUAAAAUACACUUAGCGAAUUUAGAUCUUUAACUAUUUUAACUUUUGUCAGAUUUAGUCCUUUAACUAUACACUUGUCGGUUUUACUUCUACUUUAAGUAUUUAAAAACUCAUCAGUAUGUUUAUUUUUUUUAAUACAAAUAUUGUAUGUUUACAUUAACAGAAUUCAUGUCUCCAUGGAAUUAAAUUCUCAACCCAUUUUUUCAGUUAUUUCUUUUUCCCACUGCUUUCUUUUUUAUUAUUAUUUUUAUAAAAUCAAACAAUAACUUACUUGUUAUACGUAUCAAAUUUGGGUAUUUAUCAAAAAAAAAUCUUCUUCCUGUUAUAUUCUCUAUUUAGAUUUCUAUAUGCAUGUCAAUAAUUAUUGUAUGAUUAUUCACAUCUAUUUUGUAAUUAUAAUAUUUACACAUUUUUUGUUUUGACGCACAUUAGGUGUUUAAAGAAAUGUGUGACUAGAAAGUUAGAUUUUAUUUGCUCAGUUUCAGUAGUAGAAUUAAUUUGAUUUUAUUUUUUUGGGAAAAUUUCAGAGAUCACAUACUUUUAAGGUAAAAUUACAAUAUAUCCCUUAAAAGUUUAUAAUUACAAAAAUCCCUCAAAUUGAUACAAUAAUAUAAGCAUUGACAUAUUAAUCUGUUGCGCGAGAUACAUUAAUCGUUAAGUAAGAUACAUUACAUUUUAUACAUGAUACACUAAUCUGAUGUACAUUUUAUACAUGAUACACUAAUAUGAUGCGCGAGAUACAUUAAUAUGAUGCACUGAUACAUUAAUUUGAUGUGCGAGAUACACUAAUUUGAUGCAUGAAAAUGAGAGGUUUUGGAGAUUUGUAAAACUUAUAGGGAAUAAUGGUAAUAAGUAAACUAAAAGGUGGGAUUUCUGUAAUUUUUCCUAUUUUGUUUUUUGCUAAUGAGAAUGAAUAAGACGUUCAUAAGAUUGUCCACGUGGGUUGAUCCAUUUGUGAAGAUAUUCUAUUAUAAUUCUUAACUUCCGACUUUUGGCUUGUAAGUCAUAAGUUACAAGCCCAUCCAACUAGAAACGCAAAAUUUGACCAAUAAUAGAUCACUUAAUUUUCACUUCCACUCAAAAUUCUUAAUUGUGCUAAAAAUUAAAAAAUCAAUAUUAAUUUUCAAACUUGAUUGAAAAAAUAGAUUAUUUUUUUUUCGAACAAAAAAAAUUUAGGGGUAGGUUGGUGGAAGGGGCGGGGCACCUUGGGGUGGGGGUACCUGAAAACAGUUUUUUUUUUUUUUGGAAAACUAAAAAAAUUUAGGGGUCAGUUGGUGGAAGGUGGGCGGGGAUGGGGAGGGGUUAAAUUUAUUUUUAUUUUUACAAAAAAACAGAUUUUUUUUUGUUUUUGGAAAAAAAAAAUUAGGGGUAGGUUGGUGGAAGGUGGAGGGGGGGGGUGCCUGGGGAGGGGGUAAUUAUUUUUUUUGAAAAACAGAUUUUUUAAAAUGGGUUAGAACCAUUUUACCCAAACCAUAUUUGACGAAAUCCAUAUUUACCCAUAUUCUAUUUGGGUUGAAUUGUAAUCCAAACCAUUUUUGUUCAAUCUAUAUUCAAUCCAUCCAAAUCCGAUCCAACCCAACCAUUUGCCACCCCUACUUCCACUAUGCCUUAUUGUCUUUGAUUUGUUUGUAGAAUUUUUUGCUCUACGUCUUAAUUUCAGAUUCAUGAACUCCAAACAACAAUUAAGUGAUUCAGAUAAUAAUAAAGUAGAAUAUUCAUCGAAAAUAAGGCACAAUUUUAGCAAAAUAGAUUUGCAAGUCUAUUCAUUUUACCCCUAGCAAAAUAGUGAAUGAAUAAGGAAAGUAGGUAUAUGUGAACCGAGGGAAGUCACCCGAUUUCGUGAUGUGCAUAGUCCAUAGGUGAUGGCAGAUUGGAUGAGGAGAUGUUUCAAAAGCAUAGUAAGUAGACAAUAUCUCUCAGCCUAAUAGUGAAGAAGUUUUUGCCUAUAUUGUUAGGAAGAAAUUGAGAUAGGCAAAGCAAAGCACUAUAUAGAUAAUUCAAAACAAUAAUAUACAUUUACUAGAUCGACACCAUCAUUACAAAAUAAUAGUGGUUGACAUAACACUCUGUAUGUAUUAAUUUCAAAUUUCUGAAUCAACUUCUGCGUGACGACGUCACACCAUGGUGUUCAAUCAUUCUCUCUUGAAGUGACUAUAGUGUCUUGUAUCACUUGACUCUCUUGUUUAAAUUUCUUGUAUAGCAUAAAUUUUUCUUCUCAACACCAAAAUCAAUGAACAAUGGUACCUACAAAUGUAGCACCACUAAUUAUUAAAAAUGCUUGUUUAUAACAUUGUACCCCAACACAAUUCAAAUCUUCUCCAUUUUUUCUAGUGAAAAAUCCAUUAGCUUCUAAUUGUUUCAAUGCUUCUUUAUCAUAUAAAUGACCAGCAACUCUCACAUUGACUAUAUAUCCACCUAUAGGACUAGCCACAGAGCCAAAACUAUACAAAGUGGCAUAGUACUUUAGUCCAAAUAAUUCCAAAAUUAUCCACAAAAUCAAUGGUCAUUGAGCUCCAAAACAAAACCCCAUGAGAACAGAGGACACGUAGAGUGAAUUUCGAACACCAAAUGCAAUGAGAAGAUGGCUAAUGCACGAGAGUAGGAGCACGAAAGUGAGCAUCAAGGGACACGAAAAAUUGUAUUUGUCUAACAAGAUUUCCGAGGCAAAUCCUGAGGAUACUCUUCCAAGGUAAUUCCAUAUGCUCACUAAUGACACGAAUGUACUGAUGCUUGAGUCAGGGUAACCUAAGGCCUUCCCAAAUUGACCUAAGUUAUCGAUCGAUGUCAAUGUCCCUCCAACCCCAAACUUUGUAGCUACAAAUAGAAUCAACAUGUCAAUGUUGAAGAACGCUUGCAAGAUUGUGUGAUCUUCACCUCUUUCAAGUGGAUUAAGCGCGCUCUUAAAGCACAAACUCCAAUUUGUUUUCGAUAAAGGGGAUUAUCCACUUGAUUGACGCAUUCAAUUGUGAAAUGUCACUAGAGACUAGUCCUCUUUUGCUCUUCCAAAUGUUAAAUUCUUCUCUAAUGACUAAAACCAAUGGUGAGAAUAUUAGAACUAGAACAACAACACCACUUAUCUAUAAAGCAUAAAACACAUACCGAUAGCAACAUUCAGAGGACACUUUUGUUCACCUUUAGCUUGGAGAGCAUAAAACCUAUUCUGCUUUGGAGCAUUCGCAUCCGAACCACUAGGAUGAACUUGCUUACCCUUUCUUUCCUUAGCCUUCAUCUUUGGACAAUUCCUCAUUUUGUGGCCAUUUUCACCACAACUAAGGCAACCCUCCAUACCGGCUAAACACCUAUCAUCAUGUCUCAUUCCACAUCUAGCACAAGUAAGCCAUAGGGAUUCACUACUAAUUCCUUACGGUUUAGGGUAGACACCCUAUCUUCACUAUACUUAGGAGCAUUGGAGGAGUCUUGUCUGGAAAAACCUUUGUCGAUGCUUAGGGCAACCAUGUCCAUCGGACCUUACAUGAGGGGAAUUAUCAUCAGAAUGAGUCAUAAGACAAGCAAUAUCCAUGUCACCAAUGAUCACAGCGGUACGACAUUCUUUCACUACUAAAUCGGACACUCCCGACACAAACUUACUAAUUCUCGACCUAGAGUCAGCCACUAAAGAUGGAGUAUACUUAGACAAUUGAGUAAACCUCAAUGCAUAUUCCUUAACACUCAUAUUACCUUGCCUAAGGUUAAUAAACUCAAGCACCAAAGCCUCUAUCAUCUCAAGAGGGAAGAACCUAUCAAGAAAAGUUGUUUUGAACCUUUUCCAUUCUAUGGGGCCCAUUCCUACCGGUGUAGCUUAUGUCCAUUGAUUGAACCAAACUUGAGCAACUUAUCUGAGUUAGUAAGCGGCCAAUUCCGCCUUCUCCGCCGGAGUAACCCCCAUAAUGUCUAACACUUUAUUGACCUCAUUUAUGAAUUCUUGAGAAUCAUCCUCAAGCUUUAUACCAUAAAAUUCCAGAGGGUUCAUCCUCAUAAAAUCCCUCACUCUUAACGCCGUCGUACUCACAUUUGGGUUCAUGGGACCUAUCACUUCCCUAUUGGCUUGGGUCGUCACGACUUGAGCCAACACUUGAAAAGUGAGCCUGAACUCCGCAUUAGUCACAUUCUAAGACAUAGGGUCAAUUAGAGCUUGGGGAGGAACUUCUUGAUCCAUGUUGUCUUCUUCAUUCCUUCUAGCAUUAGCGCUUGUAGUAGUCAUAUCCUAUAUACCAUCGGGUAAGGAUUAGGAGAAAGACCUUAUAGAGUUAAACUCUAUGGCACGACUUAGUGAAAUGAAGAAGUGAAGUUUCCUAAGCAUCUAGUAGCCUCUCAUUCAUAAAUGUGGCGCGCUUCACACUCAUGAACAAGACUCUACUUGACAUGGUUUUGAUACAUCCUAGAACCAUUCUAAACCUUAUGCUCUGAUUACCAAGUUUGUCACGACCCAGGGGUACACCCUAGACGUAACUUAGCGUAUAAGACUACGAAAAAACUCAUACAAGAAACUUAGCAUAUCAUUACAUAAGAUAAUGGAAAAUGGUGCGGAAAUUUAAAAUAUUUGUUCUUAACAUCAAAGUUUCAUAAAACGAAGGGGAAGUCUAUUACACUUGUCUCAAGCCAUCUAAUACUUGAAAGUCUUAGGGACACAGCCCAUACAAUAGUUCAACACAUAAAAUAAAGUCACAAAGAAAAGGUGGCCAAAUCCUCGAUGCUAUGAGGACUCACCAAAUCUUCACUCCUUGCUCUACUAUGAACCUAGCCACGAAGAUGGAAGUCAAUAUCGUCGAACCCUACAUUUGGUAAGAAUGUAGGCAAGAGUAUAUGUUAGUACAAAUAUGUACUAAAUAUGAUGGCUAGUAUAAAUUAUCAACAUAAGCAUAACAUAGGCAUUAGUCAACAUAAGACGUAAACCAUAAUCAUAAGAGGUAAUAACAUAAGUCAUAAGCAUAUUCAAUGAACAUAAACCAUCAUAUCAUAAUAGGAACACUUCUCAAGUAACCUCAACUUAUUCUUACUCAAGACUUGGGUCAUCACCUCUAUUCAUACAUAUCAAGAAAGGCAACUCAAGCAACAAUCCAAGCAAAUCUAUCAUCAUACAAGUAAUCUCGUCAAAACAUACUUACAAUACUUCCUUGAAGUAAUCUAGUUUCAUCAUAAAUAUGCUACUUUGAUUAGGGAUUAGUCCCUCAUAUUCAUAUUAUUCAUGGAAGAGUAUCUCUCUACUAGUACAAGAUAAAUCAUUACUCAUGAAUGGUUACAAUUUACAAAUUCAAGGCUACCAAGGAAAAUCAACUCAUCAUGCUAGACCAAGUUAUCAUGGAAAACAUCCUCUCAUGCAAGUCCAAGCUACUCAAGGAAGGGUACUAUUGCUCAAUCCAAGCUACCAUGAAAUGGUGUGGCCUCACCAAGUCAUGCAAUCAUUCUAUUAUGCUAGUCCAAGCUAGCCUUUGAAAGGGUACGAUUUCUCAAUCCGACGCUAUUCAUGAGAUCUACUACUCAAGCUACCAUGCAUGGUCUUGUCUUACCAAGUCAAGCUAUUCAUGAAGAGAUAUCAUAUCACUACUUCAAGGUAUCAUAGUUCAUACAUGCUUUGAUUCAUCUUAGGUGAGCAAACCUUUCUACCUAGAAUCAUUCUAUGUAAGUAAACCUUUCACAUUAUUCUUUCAUACAUACAUAAUAUAGGUCAUGUGGGUAAAUCCUUCCACAACAACUAUAUCUACAAUUCAACAAUCAUAAAAGCUUCAUUCUCAAAGCCUUAACAUUCAUAGUUCAUCAUAUUAGCUUUACUCUCAAAGCCCUAGCAAUCAACAUUCAUAACUAUAAGCCUUACUCUCAAAGCAAUACUUCUCAUAAUCAUCACAUAUGCCUAGAUCUCAAGAUAUUCUAAUCACAUGUUUUAUUCUUAAGCAAUUCUAAUCAUAUAUCAUCAUAUAGGCUCAAUCUCAAGCACCACUAAUCAUGAUUCAUCAUGUAUACUUUAAUCUAAUUCAAUUCAUGUAUAUAUGCUCGACUCUCAAGCAAUCUAUAAUGCAUAUCAUCAACCUUAGAAGAUCACAUCUAAAUCCUCAAUUUCCCCUUGCAUGGCAUAAACCCAAUUUCAUCAAUUCUAGGUUAGAAAUAAGGUUAGGCAUGGAUACAUGUAAAUUCAUACUAUAAACAUGUAAUUUUAUCAAUUUAAUCAUAAACAACAACAAUCCAUUCAAUUGGAUCAUAACCCAUAACAUUAGAAGAAACUCUAACUAGAAUUGAAUUAUUCUUCUAAAUUGGGGAAAUCAUGGGGCUCCAUGAAUGAAAGGUUCCAUGGAUGAAUAAUCCAUCAUACCUUGACUACAAAGUCUACCAAUCUAGGAAGAAUGGAGACUUGACCUGACCUUGCUUGAACCAUCUUCUUCGUCUUCAACUUUCUAGAGAGAGAAUUAUUUGAGAAAGGAACCCAAUUCUUUUGGUAAGUUGAGAGAAUGACUUGAAUAACUUAAUUUAGGGGUCUAAAGUACUUUAGAUAGGUGGUUUAGGUUAGGGUAAAACUACACCACUUAAUUUUAAUUAAAUCCGGAAAGGACCCUUGUGACCCUAAAAUAACCGUCCAGUCACUAACCACGAAACUACGUCGACGGGCCAUGGAUGGACCUACGCCAACGGGGAGUUGUUGGCCCUCGUGGAUGACACUUGGGAGUCCUAAAAUCCGUUAAGAUUCCUUCUUUCGGCUACGGGGAGUUACAAGUGGAAGAUGGAGGAAGAGAGAUGGAAGAGUCCCAAAUAGUAUUUGAAAUUCAAGGGUUUUAUUUGGCUUUGGCUUGCUUCACCCUCGAUUGUUGAACCGGAUGAACUAGAAGUUGAACUGAUGUUUGACCCCCACAUUUUUACCAGAUUGUUGGAGGGGAUAUCUAUGGAUACAGGGGGGGUUCUGACUGGUGGGAGAUGAAGGGGGAUAGAUGGAAAAGUCCAAAAAAGUAUCUGAAAAUUCAAGGGGUUUUGUUUAGCUUUGGCUUGCUUGAUCUUCGAUUGUUGAUCUGAAAAUUCAAGGGGUUUUCUCAUUAGCAUAAUUUUACUUGUAUUCUAAUUUUUAAAUUAAAAUAAAAUUUAUUGUUAAGUAAGGUUAUAGACUUACGUUUUCUUUAUUAAGAAAAAAUAAAAAUAAAUCAUAUUUAUUGCUAUGUUGAAAUUUGUUAUAAGAGUAUUAUGUUAAAUUUAUUGUUUUGAAUAUAUAACUUAUGUUAUAUUUUCAGUUUCAUUUGUUUUAGUAAUAUUGAAUUGACAUUGCACGUCAUUUUUUAAUUAAACUUGAUAGAUUAUAUUUUUGUCAAACAUUUAACAUUUUAUGACAUUUUAUUUAUAUAUUAUUUUUUUAUCAAACAUGCAUUUCACAAUGUUCGUAGAAACUUCAUACUUUUAGUUGUUACGAUCAAUUCAAUUGAAAUAUAUUAAUUUUAAAAAUAUAAAUCAAUUAUUUUUUCAUAAUAUUAGUUACAGAAAAUAUGUUUAUUAAUUAAUAUAUUUUACAAAAAAAUAUAUAUAUCUUAAAUAUUUUAAUUUAAUGUCAUUUAUAAAGUUUCUUAUUUGUAUAGUAUAAAUUUUAGAUAAUUAAUUUUUAUUUUUAAAAUUUAUUAUAAUUUUUAUGAUUGCAAUUGUGCAUCCAAACAGAACAUGUGUAAUUACACUAUUGGCAUCCAAACAGGACAUGUGUAAUUAUAGUGUAAUUACACUGUGGCAACCAAACAUGUUAGUGUAAUUACUAGACAGUGUAAUUACUAGGCUGAUAAUUACUACCCUAGUAAUUACACCAAUUUCCAAUUACCAAGUGGCUUUCCAAACACACCCUCUGCCGCCAACAAUUUAGAGAAAUCACGCGUACAGUACAAACCCAAUUUAAUUGGGUUUUGUUUUCCUAAUUUGUCUUGAACUCAAUUAUUUUAUUUAGGGUGGAUUUCUCUAUCUAUAAACAGGGGAUGAAAAAUUAUUCUCUGGAGAGCGAAGAACCAAAAAACAAUACACAAUAUAAAUUUUCUUCUAGCUCAGGAACUUUGGAAGAGCCGCCGUUGAGGCCAGAGAAUUGUGGUUCAUUCUUUCUUCUCCUUUAUUAUUUAUUUGUAUUCGUGAUUAAUAAAAGAUAGUUUAGUUAUUGUUCUUAAAUUUUUAUGAUUAACACAAGCAUAUUUAUUUUAAUAAAUUUUGAUUGUGUUUUUGAGAUAAUGAGUAGAUAAAUUUCAUAACUAGGGUUGUGGAAAUCAUGAGCGAUUAACAAAGUAUGAAUAAUAACUAUGCAAUUCUUGAAUAGUGUUGAUGCAUGCAUUGGUAAUUAUUUCUCUUAGAAGUCUUUUUAACGAGUGCACGCAUUAGAACUCGCUUUGUUGCUACUUGCCGAACCAAGGAGGUAGUUAAUAAGAAAAGAAUUAUCAAUAAAGAUUUUGUGUGAUACUAUCUAAUAAUCUACUGUCAAUUGGUGCGAGGGUGAAAACUAAGUCAUACAUUGAUGUGAUGUCUAAUCUGAGGUAAAUGUAAGGGUUAGUAAAUUACACGCACGUAGCCGGACCAAGGUGCGGGGUGAAAUUUCCUAUUUGGCGGACCAAACACUUAGGGAUACAUAUCUUACUACUUUGCAUGUGAUACACUAGGAUAUGAUUUCUAUUAUUAGGAUUACCGCGUUAUGAGUUUAUAGGGAACACAUUCCUAGUUAUUUCUAAUAAUCUGAAUAUAAAUAAAUACUUAGUUCAAAGCUAUUUUUAUUGUUUUAAUUAUUUUUUUUCAAAUUUAAAUCCCCCCAUUUUUAUAUAAUGACUAUCGAGUUAAAUAUUUGCUAUUGACAAUAUUGUUCCAUAUUCUUUGUGGAAUCGACCUCGACUCAUAGUUGGGUAAAUAUAUUACAUAUCGUUUAUAUUUUUUUUCAAGAAGUAUAUUUGGACGUUAUCAAGAAUGGUGCCGCUACGGGGGAAUGUGGCUUAGAAAUUGUCUUUAGUAUUUAUUUUGACUUGUAGUCCUUUUAUGUUUCUUAGGAUUAGUUUUAAAUUUGUUUUUUUCAGUAUCAUAUUUCUUUUACUCUUCUUGAGAUGUCAUCUGAAAAAGUAUGUAGUGAUAAGUGUUCUUGCAAUUCUUGUACUUCUAAUAUUAUGGAUUCUUAUAGGUUAAUUUUUUCUCAACAAGAUAAGUUGUAUGGGGACUUGAGGAUUUGUUAAUACUUUGCUAUAAAUCAAUAUGUAAGCGCAUGCUCGAAGAAAUCUUUGAUUUUGAUCUCUAUUAUUUAGAUUGUGAGUUGAGUGCAAAGAUUAAAUCAUAUGACACCCAACAAUUUAGUAAUAAUAUGUGUGAGGAAGAAAAAAUACUUAUAAGUCAACUUGAAGAGUUAAAAGUUGAGGGCCAAUUGAUUGAUCAUACUUUUAUUAAUGGUGUCAUUGCUGAGAAGAGUACCCUAGAGUUAUGUAAUGAAGUAGAUAAUAUUAUUUUUAAAAACUCUAGUAUGUGUAAAUAUGAGGGUGUAAAUAAUAAUACAAUUCAUAAGUUAGGGCGCACUAGACCUCAUUCCAAUCAUUUUUUCACAUAAUGUUUAGAUGAUGAAAUAUUAAUCGAGCCAUCUAAGCCAAUAGAAGAGUGUAUGGGGUAGGAUCCAAUAAGUGCAUAAUGCGAUAUCUAUUGCUUAGGACCUUUAUUUUUGUACCACUACUCCUUGAGCGUAAUAGAAAAAUGAAUCAAAAUUAGAGGUGCAAUUCAUAUCUUCAAAGUGGAAGGAAAAAUAGUAAAAUUGAUGGUGUCGUGCAGCGACGUUAAAUUAAGCGCUUAUUGGGAGGCAACCCAAUUAGUAGUGUAACUUCUUAUUUUAUUUUUAUUUUAUUAGUAUCACCUUUUUUCUUUUCUUGUUUUUGCAGAUUAGGGGAAGUCUGCGUACCCAAAAUAAAAUUUAAAGUAAAGGA